rnacentral:ncRNA from 1 species
CAUGCCGGAGGUGGGAAAUUGUGUUGCACCCACGCACCUUGCGUACAUGACGUAACGGUUAAAAGAGAUGGAGCAGAUUGCAACGGCUCCCCGGCAUA